rnacentral:rRNA from 1 species
CCACCACCAAAGCAUUUGCUGUACCGCGUUGACGGAGCGAAGCGACGUCAAACCGAUAAAACAGCAGUGUAAAGUGAGCCGCAGGGCGCUUUGCGCGACAGCGCAAAGGCAGGCGGUUUCGCGUAGCGAAAGCGAAUGCUUUGGGUGGGGUGACUGCGUACCUUUUGUAUAAUGGGUCAGCGACUUAUAUUCUGUAGCAAGGUUAACCGAAUAGGGGAGCCGGAGGGAAACCGAGUCUUAAUUGGGCGUUAAGUUGCAGGGUAUAGACCCGAAACCCGGUGAUCUAGCCAUGGGCAGGUUGAAGG